rnacentral:rRNA from 1 species
GACGGGGGAGGCAAGCGUUGUCCGGAAUUAUUGGGCGUAAAGAGCUCGUAGGUGGUACAUUAAGUCAUUUGUGAAAACUUUAGGCUUAACUUAAAGAAUGCAAGUGAUACUGGUAUACUUGAGCACAGUAGAGGAAAAUGGAAUUCCUGGUGUAGCGGUGAAAUGCGCAGAUAUCAGGAAGAACACCAGUGGCGAAGGCGGUUUUCUGGGCUGUUGCUGACACUGAGGAGCGAAAGCUAGGGGAGCGAACAGGAUUAGAUACCCUGGUAGUCUUAGCUGUAAACGAUGGACACUAGGUGUGGGGAGUUAUCGACGCUCUCCGUGCCGAAGCAAACGCAUUAAGUGUCCCGCCUGGGGAGUACGGUCGCAAGACUA